CAACUGCAGAGUUCCAGAGGCACAGGGCCACAGCAGAAGCUGGUGGGAAGCAUUUAUCCUGUGAGGCCAUCUGAGGUGGUUCCUCAGGUUUAUGCGGCUUCAGAGACACCAGUGAAAUUGCCGCUGCUGUUUCUCAAAUGUCCCAUCUGUUCCUGCUGUUUAUUCCCCUACUUGAAGGCUGAAUCCUUUGGCUCCCCAGUUAUUGUCAGUGCCCAAUUGUGAUGACGGCAGAGGGAGUGGUAGAAGGAAGCAUGUGGAAUCAAGAAACGGUGAUCGGCUGUCAUGAAAAUAUGUCAGAAGGAAAUGCAAAGACAGAGAGAAGCAAAAUUAUGGACAACAUUCCCAGAGCUCUGUAAUCAUCCCAGGCUACAUUUGAGUAUCUUGAAUUCUAGAAGAGUUUA